rnacentral:rRNA from 1 species
AUGUUGCCGCUUAAGAACUACGCCUUUUACUCCACAAUCUUUCUUGCAAGGUUGUGGAUCCAAAUUAAAACACUCGUUUCUUCCAUAAUAUUUCUUUCAAGGUUGUGGAUUCAAAUUAAAGUACUCAUUUCUUCUACCAAAUCAUUUGAUCAUGUCCAUAGUUUCCUGACUAACACAGAAUUAUUAUGUCAUGGUACGGCAGUAGGCACCCGGCAAGCUGAGCUCUUAAAAGGGCAAAAAUGCAAUCACAUGACAUACCUAACUCCCGCCACCCGCCCGUCCCAGGAAGUUCCGCCUACUGUAGCAUGA